rnacentral:rRNA from 1 species
UACGUAGGGGGCAAGCGUUGUCCGGAAUCAUUGGGCGUAAAGAGCGUGUAGGCGGCCCGAUAAGUCCGCUGUGAAAGUCCAGGGCUCAACCCUGGAAUGCCGGUGGAUACUGUCGGGCUCGAAUCCGGAAGAGGAGAGUGGAAUUCCUGGUGUAGCGGUGAAAUGCGCAGAUAUCAGGAAGAACACCAAUGGCGAAAGCAGCUCUCUGGGACGGUACUGACGCUGAGACGCGAAAGCGUGGGGAGCGAACAGG